AUGGACACGGAUGUGAUUAGCGGCCGGGACGCGAUGGCGCCGGCGGCGGGGGACGGCGGCGCGCGAGACAAGGCGGCGGGAGGAGCGGGCGGCGGCCGGAAGCACCUCUCCUCCAUCGCCAACUACGUCCUCCACCAAUGCUCCCUAACGCUGCACAGAAGCGUCGACGAUCUAGUCGCGGACUUUGAGUCGGGCCUGAAGAAUGCCGCAUUGGACAACUACUCAAGAAGACUAGUCGAGUACUGCAGCCUUCAGGCGCUGCAAUCUCUAACAUCUCCUCAUCUAGGAGACACGCUUCAUGAGGGAUCCCUUGGUCGGUUCACGUUUGAUAUGAUGCUAGCCUGGGAGACGCCCACUCCUUCGGAUCAACAAAUUACCAUGGAGAGCAUAUCAAAAGAGAGAGAAGAUCGGAAGGAACCACUUGGAGCAAAUGAAGCUGUGAUGGGUGAUGACACGUCGCUGUUCUAUUCGGAUAUGAUGCCCCUUCUUGUGAAUGAAGAUCCGACAGUCGGAGAAGAUGCAUACGUUUGGUUUGGAUCUGUAUUUCCUUUGGCUUGUGACGUUGUCAAUGCGCGAUUCACUUUCGAAGCCCUCACCGCUACCACAGCUAACAGGCUCCACUAUCCUGCUUAUGACAAAUUCCUGAAGGAAAUGGAUAAGUCCUUCAACUUUUUGCAAAGCUUGCCAACUCCAACAGGAGUUGAAUUCGCUGAAGAUGAAUUUAUCUUGCACACGGAGGGUACAACAGGAACACAAAGGGUGGUUCGGCACAUUGGGACCGGCAGCUGGCCUGGCAGGUUGAUUCUGACAAACAAGGCCCUGUAUUUUGAGACUUCCGGCAUAAUUUCAUAUGGGCCUGCUUUCAAGGUCGAGCUUUCAGAUACUAGAAUGGAUCAACAAGUUAAACCAGCUUCAACAGGUCCUUUUGGUGCACCAUUGUUCGAUAAAGCCAUUGAAUUUGAAUCACUACCGGAACCUCUGCUUCUGGAGUUUCCGGAGAUGACCAGCUCUACACGCCGCGAUCUGUGGCUUACCCUGAUAAAAGAAGUAGUCUUUCUCCACCGUUUCAUAUCGGCGUACAAGAUAGAAUCCCCUAUCCACAAAUGGGAGGUACAUUCAAGAAUCAUAUUGGGAGUGAUAAGGCUCCAUGCUGCAAGGGAGAUGCUAAGAAUGUCACCACCACCACCUUCUAGCUUCCUAAUAUUCUCGCUGUAUGACGACCUUCCAAAAGGUGAUUUUGUGCUCGAGCAAUUAGCAAACCACCUGAAAGAGACGUCGACCAUAACCCCGUUCAGUGCAUCAUAUGUGUUCAAGAGUUUGAGUAAGUCGGAUCCAAUUGCAUUAAGUGCGGAGAUGGCAAAAGAGCAUGACAGGGACUCGAGUACCCAUGAACAGCCUUUGACCUCCCUGGGAAACACCAUUGAUAAAGUAAGAGAUGAGGCGAGGGAAGUUACUGUUGCUAAUGCUCCUAUUGAAGGAAUGAAGGAGGAAGGUCUCACUGAUAGCCUCCUUGUAUUAGUGGGGUUGGUAAGUCCCAUCAGCAAAUUGGGUCCAGUGAUCCAAGAGAUAAUGUCGUGGGAUAGACCGCAAGUCACCGGCGGUGUCCUUGUUGUAACUUUGCUGACCAUAUACAACGAGUGGGUCAGUUAUGCACUGGCAGCAUCCUUGAUACUAGCGGUGGGCGCGAUGGUCUGGGCCAAGCAGAGGAAGUUAGGUGAGAUAUGCUCGGAGGUGAUCAUCGACAAGUCCUCGGACAAGACGACGAUGGAGAGCAUAGUGGAGGCGCAGCACAGCAUGAAGAAGGUGCACGAGUACGUCAAGACGGCGAACGUCGUGAUCCUCAGGCUAUGGUCCAUUGUUCUAGCCCGGUCACCAAAGCACACGGAGACGGUGAUCUGGAUGCUGACGGGCCUCGCGGUGGCGCUGGCCGUGGUGCCUUUCAAGUACGUUCUGAUGGGGCUGACGGUGUACUGCUUCGUGGCGAACACGAGGGUGGCGAAGGCGGUGUCGGACCCCCGGGGCGGGCGGCGCUGGAGGGAGUGGUGGGAGUCCAUACCCGCCGUCCCGGUCCAUACGGUGGACAAGGGCGAGCUACGAACAGGUUGA
rnacentral:rRNA from 1 species